UUAAAAAAAAAAAAAAUUUCCUUACAAACCUUGGGUUCAAAUUUCAUUUUCCUAGAGCAAAUCCUAAAUCAAUUCCGUUUUCCCUAAAAAUUUUCCCAAAUUUCCUUUCAAUUUUUAGAACCCUAGCCACCACAUUCCCCAAUCUCAAGCGAACCACAGCCGCACCAAGUCGACCUCCUCGCCAACUCUGUUGGGGAUUCAUCCGUAAGGUCUAUGGAAUUUUGACCACCUAGAUCGUGUUGACCGCUUUGGUUUCCUCCGUCACCGUUCUUUACUCUCCCAUCAAAGACCUCCUUAGGGACAAUUCCGGCCUUCUCCUUUUCCUCUCCCUCCUCCCCUUCAUCCAUCCUGCUGCCAGCGCAGAUCUUGUUUUGGUUUAGGGUGCAGGAAGGAUUAACUCACAGCUUGCUUAUUGGUAAUGAAAUGGUAAGCUCUGCUUCCUUUAAUUCUUCCAAUUAUAUACUUCAUUGCCUAUUAGAGAAAUUCUUCUAUGGCAACAUCAUUGAUUGAUGGAGAAUCAAAGCCAAAGCAUGUGCUUCUCUUUGACAUAAAGGUUUUUAUUGUAAAAAAACAACCUUAAUUUGUCUUUUUAACUGGAGGUGUUUGAAGAAAUGUUAGCAAUUGUGGAUGUUCGCAAUUGUGGGUAUUUGGGUUACUGGGGUUACCAUAGCUAGCUGGGGCUUGGUAAAAAUUAAGAUUUUUUUUAAAGGUUUCAUAGAGAGAUUUAAAAGAAGAUUGCUGACAAAUCAAGAUCAAAUUACCAUUGCUCAGAGUUAAGGUAGGAUUGUGCUCGAAGCACUAAUUCUAACCUCAGUUGUAGUGUGCUCUUUAAUUGAGUACAGUUUAUAGGCCUCUAACAAGGACAAGGACUUCAGCUUCUUUGAACCAAUUAUAUUCACCAGCCUCAUUAUCCUCUUCCUGACUGCUUUAUGUGGUCUUUCUCCAGCUUGCCGGAUAGCUUGGCCAGUUUCUGUUGCAGUUGCAGAAUUUGAGAAGCUACAGUCUUUCUCUAGUUUGUGCAGAAUUUGAGAGGCUGCUGAAUUUGAAAAAUUCAGAAUUUGUGCAGUCUUUCUCCAGUUGAUGAAUUUGAGGAGCUGCAGAAAAGCUGCUGUUUAGGAUGGAACUUGUUAAAUUGGACUUGCUAUCUAGGAUGUUAGGAUGGAAUUUGAGGAUGUUAAGACUUAGGAUGGAAUAGUCUGUUUAGGAUGAAACUGGAGAAAAAAUCAGCUGUGAUGAUAUCUUUCAUGAACUUUUAUUUUCUUUCAUGUGAUUAAAUAUGGUUUCCAUAUAUAUAUUUGCACAUAAUUAGUAAUACAAUUCAAA